rnacentral:rRNA from 1 species
GACGAACGCUGGCGGCGUGCUUAACACAUGCAAGUCGAACGGAAAGGCCCUGCUUUUGUGGGGUGCUCGAGUGGCGAACGGGUGAGUAACACGUGAGUAACCUGCCCUUGACUUUGGGAUAACUUCAGGAAACUGGGGCUAAUACCGGAUAGGAGCUCCUGCUGCAUGGUGGGGGUUGGAAAGUUUCGGCGGUUGGGGAUGGACUCGCGGCUUAUCAGCUUGUUGGUGGGGUAGUGGCUUACCAAGGCUUUGACGGGUAGCCGGCCUGAGAGGGUGACCGGCCACAUUGGGACUGAGAUACGGCCCAGACUCCUACGGGAGGCAGCAGUGGGGAAUAUUGCACAAUGGGCGGAAGCCUGAUGCAGCAACGCCGCGUGCGGGAUGACGGCCUUCGGGUUGUAAACCGCUUUCGCCUGUGACGAAGCGUGAGUGACGGUAAUGGGUAAAGAAGCACCGGCCAACUAUGUG